rnacentral:rRNA from 1 species
AUGGGGGACGGCCGCCGCCGCCGCCGCCGCCGCAAGAAUUCCCGGCGGGUACCCGCGCGGGAGGGAGAUAUUGACGACGUUCCGGGCGAGCUUCUCGAGGUGGUGUUCCUGCGCCUCUCCUCGCCUGCCCACCUCAUCCGUGCCGCGUGCACCUGCAGGCGAUGGCGCAACGUAAUCGCGGGCGACGGCGGCGGCUUCCUCCGCCGGUUCGGCUCUCUCCACGGCGCGUCGGCCGACCACGUUGUCGGCCACUACCGCGUCAACGAGCGCCACGGCCACCCGCGUCCGCCUGGCCUUAACCCCGUAUUCGUCCCGUCCUCCUCCUCUUCCUCGCCGUGGGCGGACGCCGUCGCCGCUCGGAACCUCGCACUCGACUUCCUCCCGCGGGGCGAGUUUGGCGAUUGCGGCUGGGAGCUCGCCGACAUCCGGGGCGGCCUUCUGCUCCUCUUCCACUCGGAGCUGGCGCCAGGCCUCCUCAUCUGCGAUCCCCUGAGGCGAUGCUACAGGGAAAUCCCUCGCUCGGCGUGGUUCCACGGCUGCCACAUGCUGGGCGCUUUCCUCCUCGACGGCGAGGACAAGGACGCGGCCGCGGGCAUCAGCAUGUCAAACUUCAGGGUGACGUGCGCGCUCUUUCGCUUUGGGGACCGCAACGCCAGGGCCUGCGCCUUCUCGUCUGCCGCCGGCGGCUGGACCUCCGGGGCCGCACGUAGCAGCACAUCAGUCUGCCGCGACAGGGAGUUGGCCCCCAUCUAUUUCGCAGGAAGCAGCAAGGGGAAGAGGUUCGCCUCUUGGACGGUCGGAGACAACGUUGUUCUUGCUCUGGACAAGGACACCGCCGAGCUCUUAUCUGGUGUGGUGCCGGACGACGCACAGUACGCCGUGCUCCGGGACAAGCAGCACGCCGCGGAGUACGCGUACCAGCUGCCAUGGCCACCCACGAUCGAAGCUUGCGUAACCUAG